rnacentral:rRNA from 1 species
AAUCAACGCUGGCGGCGUGCCUCAGACAUGCAAGUCGAACGAUUAAAGCUCUCUUCGGAGAGUGUAUAGAGUGGCGCACGGGUGAGUAACACGUAAGUAAUCUACCCUCGAGUGGGGAAUAACAACCGGAAACGGUUGCUAAUACCGCAUAAUGCAGCGGCACCGCAAGGUGACAGUUGUUAAAGAUUUAUCGCUUGAGGAGGAGCUUGCGGCAGAUUAGCUAGUUGGUAGGGUGACGGCUUACCAAGGCUACGAUCUGUAACCGGUCUAAGAGGACGGUCGGUCACACUGACACUGAAUAACGGGUCAGACUCCUACGGGAGGCAGCAGUCGGGAAUUUUGGGCAAUGGGCGAAAGCCUGACCCAGCAACGCCGCGUGAAGGAUGAAGUAUUUCGGUAUGUAAACUUCGAAAGAAUAGGAAGAAUUAAUGACGGUACUAUUUAUAAGGUCCGGCUAACUACGUG